rnacentral:lncRNA from 1 species
AUGGACUUAAAAGCAACUGUCAGUUCUGUCCCUAAAGACAAGCUUUGGCAAAAACUGCAGAGCCUAGUUAAUACCAGGGGACUGGUGCACUGGAUUCUGGAUCUAACAGACAGACACACACACACUGGAUUCUGGACCGAAAGAAAAUAUGUAUACAAGGAAAAAGUUGAAAAACCACUAGGAGCAGUUGAGGACAGAAGAAAGCAGAGAAAGUAAUCCUUGGAACAAGGACAGCUGAAGAACAGAUAAACCCACUAAAAAGUGAAGAUCAAUAUUAAAUAAUGAAUAAAUCAUAUAAAUCGAUUAUAUGGAGGGACUGC